rnacentral:rRNA from 1 species
AUGCUCCAUUUCAAGCCUACGGCUAUCACCAACACGUUUGUCAAUUACAUUCGUUAUAUUUUCUCUUCUCCUAAUCAUACUGCAGAUAGACCUUAUAUGUCCGCUCAAUGGCCAAAUGAUUCUUCAGAUCCAACCUAUUCUCUUCCUGACAAACAUGAGGUUUUGCAGAUUCUCAAGGACAUGAAGUUAAAUGCUUCUCCAGGGCCUGAUGGUUUUAAUGUUGAAUUUUAUUUGGCUGCUUGGGAUUGGAUAGGAGACGAGGUUACCCAACUUGUCAUCAAUUUUUAUCUCUCUGGUGUUUUGCCUCCUCACAUCAAUGAUACUAAUAUUGCUCUCAUUCCUAAGAAACUGGUUCCUCAAGUUCCUAUGGACUACUGCCCUAUUAGUCUUUGUAAUGUUGUUUAUAAGAUUAUUGCUAAAUCCCUUGCCAACAGGAUUAAACCUCACCUUCCUGAUUACAUAGAUCCUGCUCAGUAG